rnacentral:lncRNA from 1 species
AAUGGCUAAGUCAUGUGCAGGACUUUAUAUCUAGCUCUCUAAUCUCCGACUAUUCCCUGACAGUGUGUCAGCUGGAUUCUUUCUGCUGCAACCAGCACACUCCAUGCCCUGAAAGGACAGCUAUAUAGAAAUGGACUUCUAAAUCCUGGAGGUGACAUUAUCGACACUUCAUUUGGGCCUUGUUGGUAAAUGUCUCCAGAGCGUGAUGGAUGAAUAGAAGCUGCUGAAUCAAGAGGCUGCUCAAGGCCAAGCUGCCAGAGGUGUCGGAUCUUUUUGGCCGUUGGCACUAAAUCAUUUAGAUGUCCAUCCAGGAUAUAUGGCAGACUUCAUCAUUUCCGGGGAAUUUGGAGAGGCAGAGGAAAGGUGGGGAACUUCGCUGGUUUCAGUUUGCGGCAUGUGCAGAGCCAAACUUAGCCUGGAAGACCACCCCGUCUCGCGCUGACAUGCCUUGACUCUAUGACUCUGUGUCCUGGGCGAAAACUGCCUCCACUGGUCGCGGGAGCUGUUCCUGGGUGACGUGCACAGGUUUGAGUCCUCACUUGCCCCCGUGUCUCACUCCAUUUUUGCUGCAACGCAGCAAGAGCUUCAAAAGAUGGGCCUGAAAGUGGAUAUUCCUGAGAAUUAGAAACAAAUCACAGCAGGGAACUAACAACAUAAAAAUACUUCACACUGUGAGGAAUUGAAGCAAGAGUUCCUGUUGUGAUGUACGCAAUGGACACAGCAUGUGAGCGGCCAUUAAAAAAAAAAAAACUGGAAGAAAAAGUAUGUCUUUGAGAAACAACUUCUAAAAACCACAGAGAACUGAAAUGUCUCAUGAGCAGAGAGUGUAACUGCCACACGAAAACCUCUGGGGUUGAAAUAGUGAAUCCGUGGAAUAAGUUGAAAGUUUGAAUCCCGAAGUUAAGUUUUGCUGCGACUUGCCCCAUCUCCUGGUGCUCAUAAAUCCCUCUUGGUGCAACCAAAAGUCCUCCUGCUUCCAUCAAUUCCCAAGAACUGCUUGGCCAAGGUUACCAAGUCCAUUCCAAGAUCACUUAAGUACAUAAAACUGGAUGAGGAAGGUGAGUAAUCCUGAUUCAGUUCUCAAUCUAAAAUAAGACAUUUAUUUCUAGACUCGUGUUUUAAGCUCAGAGUAAUUUAUGACUUGUUAUGUCUAUGGGUGAUUAAUAAAUCAUAUUAUAUCAUCACUAUAUUACUUUUCAAAUGUAGACCUACUGUAGCCUCUCAAGGCAAGAUUACUCUGAACUGAACAAAGAAUGAAAAUAAAAGUGUAAGCCUGUUAUUAGUAUUUAAGAUUGUGUAUGCCUGAAAGGGAUUAUUUUACAUAAGGA